rnacentral:tRNA from 1 species
GGAAGGUAAGCUCAGUGGUACAGCGCAUGCUUAGCAUGCAUGCACAAGGUCCUGAGUUCAAUACCCUGUCCCUCCA